rnacentral:rRNA from 1 species
UGGGGAAUAUUGCACAAUGGGGGAAACCCGUGAUGCAGCGACGCCGCGUGAGCGAUGAAGUAUUUCGGUAUGUAAAGCUCUAUCAGCAGGGAAGAAAAUGACGGUACCUGACUAAGAAGCCCCGGCUAACUACGUGCC